rnacentral:rRNA from 1 species
UACGGGGGAGCAAGCGUUGUUCGGAUUUACUGGGCGUAAAGGGCGCGUAGGCGGCCAGCACAAGUCAGUUGUGAAAUCUCCGAGCUUAACUCGGAAAGGUCAACUGAUACUGUGCGGCUAGAGUGCGGAAGGGCAACUGGAAUUCUUGGUGUAGCGGUGAAAUGCGUAGAUAUCAAGAGGAACACCUGCGGCGAAGGCGGUUGCUGGGCCGACACUGACGCUGAGGCGCGAAAGCUAGGGAGCGAACGGG